CCCUUCUGUAUGUCUGUGUUUCUCUUGUACUGGGGAGCCUGAAACUGGACACAGCACUCCAGGUGUGGCCAUGCCAGCACUGAGUAGAAGGGAAGGAUCACUUUCUUUGACCUGCUGACAAUACUUUGUGUAAUACAGCCCAGGAUACCACUCACCUUCUUUUCUACAAAGGCACAUUUCUGGCUCAUGUAUAUCCAGAGUUAAGGCAGAACUCUCACUAGAGCCUGACUUAGGUUAUAUUAUUGUGUUAAUGUUACUUACUGACACUUCUCCUGUGGUGUUUACUUAGGUUACAGUAAAUUGGUCCCUCUUUUUCUUUAAAGGUUUCUAGCCAAUGGCUAUUGACAAACAGGGCAUGAAAACGUGGCUAGAGUAUAACUGGUAUUUGCUUAAGUUUGAAGAGGAUUUGAACUGAGCCCUUAGACAUGAACUGUCGCAUGUGUCACAGGGAGUGUUCAUCCAGGAAUCAACGGCAUUACCAUUAUGUCAGCCCUAGAUACUUCAGUGCUCACUGAAGCGAGGCAGAAAAGCGUUUCAAGAGAAGCUCUUUGGAGGAAUAGCUCAGUUUCAGGACAUGAGCGGGUACAUUUAUGAGAGUGCUACCACAUAAUUACAUAUAUAUAUUUAGCUUAUUCAGGAAGGAGACAAACACUGUUUACCCAGCAUAGUCUAUAUCUGGGCUGAAAUAAAAGAAAGCUAAUGCAGGGAGUGUGUGGUAUAUAUGGUUUGUGUUUUCAAAAUCUGCAUAGUUUAUUUAGGAUCAGGUAUUCACACCUCACCUUGGUAGGUCAAAAUAUGAGAACAUGAUGAAAAGCUACUUGUUUUCUUUUCAUUCUCUGCCAUGUUUUUAGAUGGGAUAUUGUAACACUAAGAUCUAGAUAUUAACUUAUAUGUAAUUUUAAAAAGAUUUGUGAAUAACCAAUUUCAGAGAAGCUUUGAUCUUUUCUUCGUGUUUCACUGGCUUUUGUCAACUGGGAGAUGUCAUAUGAUGACACCUCUUAGUCAUGGAAUCCACAUAGGUGAAUUAUAUUUCCCAGAAUAAAUAAAACCUAAAAGCUAUUAGACCACCAGCCUAAUAAAGUUGGCUUUCAUAACUUUAAGGCAGCUUACUCAACCUAGGUAGCAAAUCAACAUAGGAAGGCCAAUGCAGCUUGUACCUCCAGUGAGAUGUGAUAGUUCCCAGUGCACAGCCACAGGAGAGAGGAAGGUGCUAUGGAGAGUGGCUCCAAGUAAUACUCUUUUUCCUUUGAAGGAAAAAGGCAACAACAAAAAGUUAAUGUUUCAUAUGCCUGUAGCUUGUAGUAUGAUUUAGGAAACAUCUCAAUGCAGUAUUUAAUUUCUUUUCCAGCUCAAAUCAUUAUGUGUUAUCCACUGAUGUUGCAAGGUCCAUGGUAUCUGUUUUCUAUAGAAGUAAUACAGCUAUAUUCAGGAAAAUGCAUAUUCCUACUUGUAACAAAUUGCUCUAGCUUUCCUUAUGGACAGAAAUAGCUUUUAUGACCAAGUUUUACAAGCAAUUCCUCCAGAUUCUCAGGAUAAAAAAGUUGCAGAGUCUAUGCUGUAUUUAUCAACUCUCAGAAAGUGUAUUUGAACAACUCGAUGAUAAAACCAAAGUGAAAUAUAUUGUAAUCUAUUGGAGCAUCUCUAAAAAUAAACCAGAAAAUGAGUUUUAACACUUCUGAGGCACAAGAAUGUAAUAAAAUUUAUAAAAUGAACAACCUGUAGCUUGUGGUAUACCUACCCUGGUCAAAUACUGAAGUGACAAACUAAACUGCUUUCUAAAAAUAAA